CACAUGCAGUCGAACGGAGAUUACAGGCGGAAGUUUUCGGAUGGAAGCUUGUAAACUUAGUGGCGGACGGGUGAGUAACACGUGAGCAACCUGCCUAUCAGAGGGGGAUAACGAUUGGAAACGAUCGCUAAUACCGCAUGACAUAGCGGAAUCGCAUGGUUCUGUUAUCAAAGAUUUUAUCGCUGAUAGAUGGGCUCGCGUCCGAUUAGAUAGUUGGUGGGGUAACGGCCUACCAAGUCGACGAUCGGUAGCCGGACUGAGAGGUCGAACGGCCACAUUGGGACUGAGACACGGCCCAGACUCCUACGGGAGGCAGCAGUGGGGGAUAUUGCACAAUGGGGGAAACCCUGAUGCAGCGACGCCGCGUGAGGGAAGACGGUCCUCUGGAUUGUAAACCUCUGUCUUCGGGGACGAAACGAGACGGUACCCGAGGAGGAAGCCACGGCUAACUACGUGCCAGCAGCCGCGGUAAUACGUAGGUGGCAAGCGUUGUCCGGAAUUACUGGGUGUAAAGGGAGCGUAGGCGGGCAGGCAAGUCAGGCGUGAAAUAUAUCGGCUCAACCGGUAACGGCGCUUGAAACUGCAGGUCUUGAGUGAAGUAGAGGUUGGCGGAAUUCCUAGUGUAGCGGUGAAAUGCGUAGAUAUUAGGAGGAACACCAGUGGCGAAGGCGGCCAACUGGGCUUUUACUGACGCUGAGGCUCGAAAGUGUGGGGAGCAAACAGGAUUAGAUACCCUGGUAGUCCACACCGUAACGAUGAUUACUAGGUGUGGGGGGACUGACCCCUUCCGUGCCGGAGUUAACACAAUAAGUAAUCCACCUGGGGAGUACGGCCGCAAGG
rnacentral:rRNA from 1 species